rnacentral:rRNA from 1 species
GUGCCAGCCGCCGCGGUAAUACGUAGGGCGCAAGCGUUAUCCGGAUUUAUUGGGCGUAAAGGGCUCGUAGGCGGCUCGUCGCGUCCUGGUGUGAAAGUCCGUCGCUUAACGGUGGAUCUGCGCCGGGUACGGGCGGGCUGGAGUGCGGUAGGGGAGACUGGAAUUCCCGGUGUAACGGUGGAAUGUGUAGAUAUCGGGAAGAACACCGAUGGCGAAGGCAGGUCUCUGGGCCGUCACUGACGCUGAGGAGCGAAAGCGUGGGGAG